rnacentral:rRNA from 1 species
UGGGGAAUAUUGGACAAUGGGCGAAAGCCUGAUCCAGCAAUGCCGCGUGUGUGAAGAAGGCCUUCGGGUUGUAAAGCACUUUAAGUUGGGAAGAAAAAGCUCUGGCUAAUAUCUAGAGCCUUGACGGUACCAACAGAAUAAGCACCGGCUAACUCUGUGCCAGCAGCCGCGGUAAUACAGAGGGUGCUAGCGUUAAUCGGAUUUACUGGGCGUAAAGCGUGCGUAGGCGGUUUGAUAAGUCGAUUGUGAAAGCCCCGGGCUUAACCUGGGAAUUGCAGUUGAUACUGUCAGACUAGAAAACGGUAGAGGGAGGCGGAACUCCAGGUGUAGCGGUGAAAUGCGUAGAUAUCUGGAAGAACACCGAUGGCGAAGGCAACCUCCUGGGCCUGUUUUGACGCUGAGGCACGAAAGCGUGGGUAGCAAACAGGAUUAGAUACCCUGGUAGUCCACGCCGUAAACGAUGAGAACUUGACGUUGGUUUGCUUAGCAAAUCGGUGUCGU